UUCAAAUUCGUGGCGGGGUCACCUGAUCAAAGUUCAAAGUUUCCUUAAUUUGAACUCUGGAACUUCACAGAGUAAAAAAGACGCGACAUGGAAAUAAGAAACGAGGUCUCUGUCUAGACUGCAAUUUCUCUUCCUCUCCCGCUGUUUCCAAAAUGAUAAUCGAACUUGAUAGGAUCUUUAGGGCUUUCUAUUCGAAUCAAUCAAUUCUAUAUUCUCAGGAGAUGUUCGAGCAGCUGCAUUUCGUCGAUCUGAAGGAAUCUGGAAGCUUUGGAUACCCAAAAUCAAGGCUGUUGGGGUGAAGAUCAGUCGCCCCCUCUUCCACAGUGAAACUAUUUCUUCUUCCCUUUCCAAUGGCAAUGCAAACAAUGGUAAUGCCGACAAGUACUCUACAAGAACCUUUCGAGAAGCUCCUGCUCGUCGAAUCGCUCAUGGAUCGCAAGGCGAACAAUUCCUUCACGCGUUGUACGUCGUUAAUCUACACCAAGGUCGGUCCCAGAAAAUUGUUCCUCAAGAAGAUAAUUAAGUCCUGAUUUCUGAUAGAUUCUGCAGACUUGCUCCACAAAAUCUAAACAGCACUUGAUCAGAAUCCUGUGCUGUUCUGAUACUUCUAAUCUGCUUCUCCUGGAAUUAUAGUUGCCUUUAGCCCUAGCCAUGACAAGAGCACACGAGCGCAAAACUUCCUGGAUUUUCAGAAUUUACAACAUUGAAGGCCCAUGCGCAGUAGUUUUUGCUUUCUCAAAUGCAGGCCUUCUGGUUUUGGCAUUUUUAUGGGACUGCCAUUCCACUCGCAACGCAAUCUACAUGUGGAAAGAAGUCAGAAGAUUAAUGCGCGGUAAGUUUAUGAGACUAGAGGAACUUGAUAAUUUUUUAGUCAACGUAUGUUAUCAGGAGAUUUAGGACUUACACAGGGAAGGCAAAUGAACCUGUACUGCUGCUGCUCUGCGACUGAGUAGAGGUGGAGUAGCUUGAUUUUUGUGAAUUUGUUCCUGAAUCAGCAUCAUGGGCUUCUGUUCUGAUCCCUGGAUGUGGGGCCUCAGAAUCAAAAUAAAUGCUCUCUUCAUCUUCACCCUAUUAUUCACCAAAACAAAUCACUUUCUUGACUUGAUUCUCAAGCAUAUCUGAAUAUAUGUUGUAAGAAGUAUAUGGGUGGCAAGUACAAUUGUUGGCUGGGUUGUUCAGACUUCCCAGGGACAUAUGGGGCCCAAUUAGCAUUUUCAACCUAAUCAAGUUGAUAAAUGGAUUGCUUCCGUACAGACCCGUUUUCAUCAAGGUACACAAUAGGAAAGUAUGAUUAUGAUAAUGGCACCAAACCUCUUCAUCAUCAUUGAAAGUAUAAGACUUUUCAUUUGUAAAAUCAAAAUCAAUUCCAUCCGUAUUUGACAUAUCUUCAUUGUCGUAUUUGCUAUCUGUAUCUGUAUCUGUUUCUGUAUCUGUUUCUGUAUCUUCCCCAUAAACAAGCUGUUUGUUUCCAAAACCAUUAAGGCAUAAUCAGAAAUAGAUGCUUUUUUGGGGACCAGAUUAUUUUGUAAAACAGUAAUGGUUAUUUACUAACCUUUCGGUUGAAGACAGCCCUGGAUGGUUCGGUCCUAUAUUUGACAUGAUGAGCUGAUUCUGAUUUCUCUUCCUUAACAACUUCGAAGGUACCGUCCUCUUUGAAGCAGAAGACAAUGUAGUCUUCCUCUUUGAAGCCUUCCCGGUUUGAUCACAUAGAUUCUGGUCUCAUCUUGUUUUGCUUCGGAGAGCCUGGUUUCACUUGGUGCAUGAGGUAAGGAUGGAUGGAAUGUAUCUGGUUCGUCAUCUAUGGUCCAAAUAAACAAAAAU